AUGGGGGCCGGGCUCUUUGGGUACAUCGACCAAACCAUAGCCGAACCACCAAGAACCCUAACCAGCAAAACCUCCGAGGGCAAAGAUCAGGUUGUUCCAAACCCUGCUUAUGCGCCUUUGUUGAUCCAAGAUCAAUAGAUCAUCGCCUACCUACUCUGCAACCUCUGCAAGGAAGUGUUAGUUCAAGUAGCUUCCCUGGAAACUUCUGCUGCCAUAUGGUCAGCUCUUGCCAACAUGUUCUCUGCCCAAUCCAGAUCCAAAGCCAACCAUGUCCGCAUAUCCCUCGCCACCGCCCAGAAAGGAACCCAAUCCGCUUCUGUGUACUUCGGGCACAUGCGCGGUCUCGCCGAUGAGCUAGCAGCAGCAGGAAAACCCAUCACAGAGAAUGAACUCGUCUCCCACAUCAUAUCCGGUCUUGACAUGGACUAUCAGCCAAUAAUCUCUGCACUUGAUGUGCAUCCUGAUGAUGUCACAGUCGAUGAGCUCUUCGGCAUGGUGGCCACUUUCAAUCAGAGGGUCGAGAUGUUCUAG
rnacentral:rRNA from 1 species